ensembl:lncRNA
GCGAUCACACGAUCGAGAGAGAGGAAGAUCCAAUAAAACAUGUAGUAGAUGAGUUACGGUGUGACAGGGGUCGGCAGAGAAAACAGGACACCAGAGGCAGAGGAGGAGAAGUAGCAGAGGUUAAACUCUCGGGGGAAGAGGACAGGUUGCAUUAUCUGCCUCCUUCACCCUCUCCUUCACCCUCAGACUCUUUCUCCCCCUCUCUUGCUGAGAUGAGCCGGAUUUAUAACCUGAAAACAGUGGGGUCCAGGACGGCGGUGUGCAUGAGUGAGAGGACCGUGGAUAGGCCUAUCCCUAUACAUACACCCAACGUACAGUCCCGCAUAUCAGCAGAACAACAGGAGCCAAGCAGUCUGGAGAGAUCCGUUGGGAUGCUGACACAGAAGCAGCUGUGGGGUGGUGGUGGGGCAUCUGGAAAUAAGGCCUCUUGUGAUGAGAAUUCCGGACUUCAGAAAAUACAGCGUCAGGUGGAACAGCUUCAGUUGCGAGAACAACAGGAAGUACAGAGACUAUCACACGACGACAACGCAGCACAGUCGACUUUUAGUAAAAAAACUAAUUUGAAAGCUAAAGCGUCUGAAGCUCAGCAAAGCACAAGGAUAUCACACAACCAGCCCAAUAAGGAACCUCAACAGAUGCAUCCGAGGCAAAAGGACCAGCAAACACCUCUAAAUCCCAGAAAAUGUCAGUCUAAUCCGCAGUUGCACUCUGAAAGGCCUCCUCAAUCCAAUCGUGCCCGAUCCAUUACCAUCAACUCCAGAUCUCUCCUGACCCCCUCUCCUGAGAACUCAUUACACCCAGACCAGGGAGUCCCACCCAGCACAUCAUCCUCCCCAUGUUCACCCUCCCCACCCCAGUCCCCCUCCGUCUCUCCCUCUCCUUCGCCUUCUCCGAUCCAUUUCACCAUCAGAACAGGCUCUGGAGGCCAGCAGGCCAAGAGGGGCACCACCAUCACCAUCACCCCAAGGAAGCCUGUUGGAGGGGCAGCCGUGGAAUCGGUUUCAGUAUCCUCAGGACCCUCAGUCAAGACGUCUACCAAGUCCCAGAUGCCUGUCCUAACCGAGAUAGUAGAGAGAGGCAAGAAGAGAUACCCCACUACGGAGGAGAUCGAAGUGAUCGGCGGAUAUCAGAACCUGGAUAAGUCUUGCCUGGUCAAGACUCCCAAAGGGACUCCCAAAGGGGAGAAGGUGUGUUUCGACGAGACCCAGCUGGAGCAGCGGCUGGCCUGAGAGUGCUGAGAAUAGAUGAGUCUUGCCAUCGGUAGAUGUCAGCUCGCCAAAUAGCCCAAGUGAUGUUUCAUAUUAGAUUUUUGUUUCCUGUAUUUUGUUUAUUUAAAAUGAUAUAAUUAAUGUUGGUAAUCUUUUUUGAUGUUCAAUGUUUUAUUUUACUUAGGGUCAGGGACUAUUGGUUUUGAAUUUUAAAAAUGAUGGUUUUGAGCAGUUUAUGAGUUGAAUGAUGGCGCAUGUAGCGGAACCUGACUGGACUUUUUAUUUUACUUCUCUAUUUCAAGGUAGAAGUGCAAAGGAAAUAUGAAAGCACAGUACAUUUUGUAGCCUAUAAGUUUGAAUAUAUAAAAGUGUAUUUUUACCAUCAGGUGUGUACUGUUGGGUGAUGAUCACAUGUCAAUGCAAGUUAGUGGAUUACUACAAAAGUAUUGUAAAAGGGUCCGGUCAGUUUAGUUUUAUUUAGCUUAGUUCAACAACACAAUGGCCCUACUGUAUAUAAACGUUGCAUCAGCACUGUAACGAUUCAGGCUGCAUUCCCUCUAGGGCACUACUUUUGACCGGAGCCCUAUGGGCCCUGGUCAAAAGUAGUGCACUAUAAAGGGAUUAGGAUGUCAUUUUGGAUGUAUUCUCAGUGACGCUUAUAUCAUCUGGUCCCUGUGCCUGCUUGAUUUGCUCAUACAGAUGAUAUAAAGAUUAGGUGAUCCACAAGUCCAAGAUACAUUUUGAGUCUUGUGAACAUCCCUCAUCUGUACAGUGCCUUCAGAAAGUAUUCAUACACCUGGACUUAUGCCACAUUCCGUUGUGCUAAAGCCUGAAUUCAAAAUUGAUUAAAUAUAUUUUAUUUCUCACCCAUCUACACACAAUAGCCCACAAUGAUAAAGUGAAAACAUAUUUUUUUUAUUUUUAAAUUUGACGUCUAAUUUACACGUAUUCAUUCACACCCCAGAGACAAUACAUCCAGCUCUUUCAAGUUGGUUGUUAAUCAUUGCUAGAAAGUCAUUUUCAAGUCCUGCCAUAGAUCUUCAACCCUAUUUAAGUCAAAACUGUAUCUAGGCCAUUCAGGAACAUUCAAUGCCGUCUUGGUAAGCAACUCCAGUGUAUAUUUGGCCUUGUGUUUUAGGUUAUUGAUUCAGAGGGAAUGGGUUAAAUGCAGAAGACGCAUUUUCGGUUGAAUGCAUUCAGUUAUGUAGAUAUCCCCUUUCCCUUAUUGUCCUGCUGAAAGGUGAAUUUGUCUCCCAGUGUCUGUUUGAAAGCAGACUGAACCAGGUUUUCUUCUAGGAUGUUGGUUGUGCUUAGGUCUAUUCCGUUUAAUUAUUAUUAUUAUUUUUAAACUCCUUAGUCCUUGCCAAUGACAACCAUAUCCAUAACAUGAUGCAGCCACCACCAUGCUUGAAAAUAUGAAGAGUGGUACUCAGUGAUGUGUGGUGCCUUAUGGCAAACAGGAUUGCAUGUUUUGGGAUAUCUUUAUUCUGUAUAGGCUUCCUUCUUUUAACCUUUAUUUAACUAGGCAACAGUUCACUCUGUCAUUUAGGUUAAUAUUGUGGAGUAACUACAAUGUUGUUGAUCCAUUCUCCGUUUUCUCUUAUCACAGCCAUUCAACUCUGUAACUGUUUUAAAGUCAGCAUUGGUCUCAUGGUGAAAUCCCUGAGCAGUAUUUUCUAUUAAAUUGUAAAAAAAUAAUAAUAAUAAAUUACAAACAUAAUUCCAAUUUGACAUGAAAUGGGGUAUUUUGUGUAGGCCAGUGACACAAGAUCUCAAUUUUAAAUGCAGGCUAUAACACAACAAAAUGUGGAAAAAGUUGAAGGGUGUAAAUACUUUCUGAAGGCACAGUAGUUUCUGGCAAACCAUGGCUAUAUGUAACAUGAUGACAAUUCACUUUUGUUCAAUUACGGUUUCUGUUUCAACCACAAACUGGAUUUAAGUGAGACUUAAUGCACAUGAUUGAAAAACCUGAGGAUACAUUAUGUAAUGAUCACCAUUACAAGUUUUGAUUUUUAACCACUAGUGGAAUUAAUGUGGUAGGAUGAAAAACAGUAGUCUAUGUACUGUAUCUAUAGUACUUUGACUGUAUAGUUUUGAAUGGAAAAGGUAUUAUGUUUGGGUCUCUGGUGUUAUUAUGUAAGACUACAGCACAUGUGUGAUGUGGGUGAAAAACAAGGACCAUGAUUUUCAGACAUUUAAUAUAUAGAAUGGUCCUUUGGAGUAUGGAUUGUUAACGUAUAUUUGACAUUUGUAUAUAAAUGCAUAAUUGACCAAUAAUUAAUCAAAGUUGACGGUUUGGCCUUACCCAGGUCUCCUUUAAGACUCCCUAAUGUUUUAUCUGUAGGUGCUACAAAGAAAACAUUGGUGUCAUAGGAAGCUUCACCGCUUGCUUUGUAAUAUGAGAAGCAUUUUGUUUUCAAUAACAAUAUUCUUAUUAAUUUAUGAAUAUUGAAAAAAAAAAAUUGAUUUAGCAAACUGUUGAACGUAAUAUUGUUGAACGUAAUAUACUCUACGGACAUAUCAAAGUUCUAGAGUGGGAUCUCUGCUAUUUUUAGAGUUAUGAUCCAAUUUGUAACAGAGUGAAAGUGAAAAUGGAUUCAAAAUGGUCACCCUCUUCUGGUGAUUUGCCGGAUGUACAAUACAUGAAAAUAUUAGCCAAAUUCAAAUGGUAUAUUUCAAUAUUUAUGUUUAUAUUUUUCAAUAUUCAUUAAUUAAUAGGAAAAUUGUUAUUGAAAUCAAAAUGCAUCUCAUGUUGCAGAGCAAGCAGCAACGCUUCAUAUUACACCAAGUUUUGCUUUAUGGAGUCUUAAAGGAGGGUUAUAUGGCAACUUGUAUUAUUUCUCAAUUAAGCUUUUAGAUACAAAUGUCAACAAUACUUCCUCCAAAAGGACCAUUCUAUGGAUUAAAUGAAGUGAAAAUCCCCCAAAUCAUGGUCUUUUUUUUGGUCCUAGUUCGUGACAAAUCACCCACAUCCAAAAUAAGGGCACAAAUGUUAUCAUGGUUCCAUGAGAUGCUGUAAUCUCAAUUUUAGGUGCUCUUUUUUACGUGAAAGAAUCUAUCUGAAGAAUAUCAUAUAUAUGGUAUAUAUGAUUUAUGCUCCCAUGUGUGCAAUUUUGAUACUUUGUUUUAUUCUUUCUGUUUUCAAUUGCGGUCAAAGAAGCUGGCUUCAAGAGAGAAAACACAUCUAAUAAAUGAUUUGAAAUUAA